rnacentral:rRNA from 1 species
UACAGAGGGGGCAAGCGUUGUUCGGAAUUACUGGGCGUAAAGGGCGCGUAGGCGGCCUGUUAAGUCGAACGUGAAAUCCCCGGGCUCAACCCGGGAACUGCGUCCGAUACUGGCAGGCUUGAAUCCGGGAGAGGGAUGCGGAAUUCCAGGUGUAGCGGUGAAAUGCGUAGAUAUCUGGAGGAACACCGGUGGCGAAGGCGGCAUCCGUGGACCGGCAUUGACGCUGAGGCGCGAAAGCCAGGGGAGCGAAACGGGG